GCCGGGCGUGGUGGCACACGCCUGUAAUCCCAGCCGUUUGGGAGGCUGAGGCGGGAGGAUCUGAAGUUCAAAGCCAGCCUUAACAACUUAGCGAGGCCCUGAGCAACUCAGGGAGACCCUGUCUCUA
rnacentral:sRNA from 1 species